rnacentral:rRNA from 1 species
GUCUGCAGCCAUACCACCCUGAACGCGCCCAAUCUCAUCUAAUCUCUGAAGCUAAGCAGGGUCAGGCCUGGUUAGUACUUGGAUGGGAGAAAGUGCAAAUAAGACUAGUUUUUGCUUUGCUGAUA